rnacentral:ncRNA from 1 species
UAUUUUUGAAGUGGUCAGAAAAGAGCAGGUAAAAGGCUCUUUUCGGGCCUGGGAUUUUACCAGGCAGCAGGGAUAAAAAAAUCCUGCGGGACCCAU